rnacentral:rRNA from 1 species
AUUGAACGCUGGCGGCAUGCUUUACACAUGCAAGUCGAACGGUAACAGGUUAAGCUGACGAGUGGCGAACGGGUGAGUAAUGCAUCGGAACGUGCCCGAUCGUGGGGGAUAACGCAGCGAAAGCUGCGCUAAUACCGCAUACGAUCUGAGGAUGAAAGCGGGGGACCGUAAGGCCUCGCGCGAUCGGAGCGGCCGAUGUCAGAUUAGGUAGUUGGUGGGGUAAAGGCUCACCAAGCCGACGAUCUGUAGCUGGUCUGAGAGGACGACCAGCCACACUGGGACUGAGACACGGCCCGGACGCCUACGGGAGGCAGCAGUGGGGAAUUUUGGACAAUGGGCGCAAGCCUGAUCCAGCAAUGCCGCGUGCAGGAAGAAGGCCUUCGGGUUGUAAACUGCUUUUGUACGGAGCGAAAAGGCUCUCUCUAAUACAGGGGGCUCAUGACGGUACCGUAAGAAUAAGCACCGGCUAACUACGUGCCAGCCGCCGCAGUAA